GAAGAAUUCAGUGUUCAGCACAAGCACCACCUCCAGCUUGGCUAGGAAGUGCUUUUCCGGAGCCGGGCCAGAGGACUUGAGAUGGUCCAAAAGCCUAGUUCUGUUGUUGGAUCUACUGGUUCCAUUGGAACCCAGACAUUGGACAUUGUUGCAGAGAACCCGAAAAAAUUUAGAGUUGUGGCCCUAGUAGCUGGCUCAAAUGUGACUCUUCUUGUUGAUCAGGUGAAAAGGUUCAAACCCAAAUUAGUUGCAGUUAGAAAUGAAUCAUUAGUUAAUGAACUUAAAGAGGCUCUAUCUGGUCUAGAAGACAAGCCUGAGAUCACUCCUAGGGAGCAAGGAGUCAUUGAGUUGUCAAGUCCACUAUCCAAGGGGCCGCUAAAUGUUUAGUCUCAGGACCUUGUGAGGAAUGAUAGUAGAGGGCUGGAUGUUCCAUCAUCACUAGCUGUGACUGCAGAUAAAACUGAUGGUACAGUUGCUCUGGUGAAAUCAGGUCCUGAGAAAGUUAAAACUACCCCUGCAGGAGAAUAUCUUACUUCUGCCUUGAAUGAUUUUGACCCUGAACAACAUGACAGUCUUGCUGCCAUUUCAGAUGGUGCAAACAAACUUUUGAUGCUGGUUCUGGCUGCAGUAAUUAAAGCUGGGGCUUCUAGGGAGCAUGAAAUACUUGCUGAAAUAAGAGAUGUUGUUUUCUCUUUUAUUCGUAAAAUGGAACCGCAGAGGGUAAUGGACACCAUGCUUGUAUCCCGUGUUAGAAUUUUGUAUAUUACAUCUUUGCUUGCUAGAUCACCAGAGCUGCAGUCCAUCAAGGUUUCUCCCGUUGAGAAUUUUCUAGAGAAGGUAAUACUGGACGUAGUAGAAGCUCCAGUCGGGGUAGCAGCCCUGGAAGAAGUCCUGUGAGCAUAUGUGGAGAAACACGAGUUUGUUUCUGAUGUAGUGCUGAAUGAGGAAGUGUUUAAUGAUAAGGUUUAUACAUAUAUAUUUGCAUAUAUAUUGCAAUUAAACUUGGAGUAGAAACAAGAGUUUGAAAUCAUGUAUAUACAUUAGUGGCAUUCAGAAUAUUGGUCUUUAAUAUGUUUAAGGUUACUUAUCAACUGUUGUCAUUCUGUACUAAUAUGUAGGCUUUAUGCUCAACUUGGAGGGAUGAUGGGGCGACUGUCUUCUCUUGAGGCUGUGACAAGCAAGCUAAGAUGUGGUCCUUGGCUACAAACCAACAAUGAUUGUUGCUCUGCAUGAAGCCCCCAUUAAAGACAUGGCCGGGAUCCCCCAUUAAAGAAAUUAUUGUGGUCCUGUUGUUUGCAGUAUUUUCCUACUGCUGCUUCUUAUGUGGACUCCAAUUUUAAUUUUUUUGCUUUAUGUACUUGAAAAAGGAAAACAAAAGACAUAUACUUUGUUUAGUUAGUUAAUUUGGUAACUAAAUGCUCAUUUCUUUAUGCAGUCGUUUCUGUGGUAAACAUUGCAGUUAUUUUCCUAAUUAGCCAUACUGUCAUCCGGUUUGUACGUAGUAGGUUAAUUGGGGUUUUAUUUUGCCUAUUUUGUGAAGUGUCAAGGAUAAUGAU